GAUGAACGCUAGCGACAGGCCUAACACAUGCAAGUCGAGGGGCAGCACAUGAGUAGCAAUACGAUGGUGGCGACCGGCGCACGGGUGAGUAACACGUAUGCAACCUACCUUCUACCAGGGGAUAACCCGUUGAAAGACGGACUAAUACCCUAUAAUACAGGGGCUCCGCAUGGAGAUAUUUGUUAAAGAUUCAUCAGUAGAAGAUGGGCAUGCGCAUGAUUAGCUAGUUGGCGGGGUAACGGCCCACCAAGGCAUCGAUCAUUAGGGGUUCUGGGAGGAAGGUCCCCCACACUGGUACUGGGACACGGACCAGACUCCUACGGGAGGCAGCAGUGAGGAAUAUUGGUCAAUGGGCGAGAGCCUGAACCAGCCAAGUCGCGUGAAGGAAGACUGUCCUAUGGAUUGUAAACUUCUUUUGUACGGGAAUAAAGUGGGCUACGUGUAGCCUUUUGUAUGUACCGUACGAAUAAGGAUCGGCUAACUCCGUGCCAGCCGCCGCAGUAACAC
rnacentral:rRNA from 1 species